CCAGAGGCCUUUCUUAAGGCCACAGUUUAUACAGAAGGGUCCGU
rfam:Oryctolagus cuniculus chromosome 14, whole genome shotgun sequence.